UCUCAAAUGUUGCCACGUGUGUCCAGACAGUGAGGAGGCUGAUGCAGGAGCACCCUGAGUUGCAGGCCAACCUAGACAACAUAGUGAGAUUCUGUCUCGAGUACGACUGAAGUGUUCGCCUGCAUGUGCUGCCCAGCGAGAUCCAGGAAACACACCCCUCCUCAGAUGUGUCGUGGAGGACUGGGACUCUUUUCCUCACCCUGAAAGAGCAGGGAACUGAAGGAAUUACCAUUGUAUUUACUUCUGCCAUUUAUAUUCAUUUAGUUACUCAUCUGUGUGUGUGUGUGUGUGUGUGUGUGUGUGUGUGUGUGUUCGUGCACACGUGCGCGCUCAUGCCUGCACACGCAUGUGAGUGCCACUGCGCAUGUGUGGGGGCCCAGGGACAACCUGAGGGAGGUGGCUCUCUCCACGUUGGCUUUGCCAGCGCAGGUCUCCAGGCUUGGCAGCUGUGGCUUCCCCUGCUGAGCCGGCUUCCCCUGCUGAGCCGUCCAUUUGUUUCUGGGCGAUUAAGAUGGCUGAGUGUGUGGAACCCGCUCACAUCUCUGGCUGAAUUUUGUUGUUCGUGUGUGUUCUAUCCUGAAUACCUCUGUGAAGUGGAUCAUUCAUUAACCAUUCAAAACAAGUCAAUUAUUUAAAAAA
rnacentral:lncRNA from 1 species